GUCUACUGCCAUACUACCCUGAACGCAUCAGAUCUCAUCUGAUCUUGGAAGCUAAGCAUGGUCGGGUCUGGUUAGUACUUGGAUGGGAGACUACCUGGGAAUACCGGGUGCUGUAGGCU
ensembl:rRNA 5S_rRNA 5S ribosomal RNA